rnacentral:rRNA from 1 species
UACGUAGGGUGCGAGCGUUAAUCGGAAUUACUGGGCGUAAAGCGUGCGCAGGCGGUUUUGUAAGCCAGAUGUGAAAUCCCCGGGCUUAACCUGGGAAUGGCAUUUGGGACUGCAAGGCUCGAGUGCGGCAGAGGAGACUGGAAUUCCUGGUGUAGCAGUGAAAUGCGUAGAUAUCAGGAGGAACACCGAUGGCGAAGGCGGGUCUCUGGGCCGAAACUGACGCUGAGGAGCGAAAGCGUGGGGAGCAAACAGG